CUGUCAUCAGCUAGUGGAAAGGUGCUUUCAUGUUUGUUAUCAUGGACUUUCAUUCUUUCUGGAAUUUUCCGUUUGCUUGAUUUUGUUUUGUUGCAGGUGGAUAAGCAAAAUGCUCAUUUCUUUGGUGUUACGAUCAACGAGCAACAAGCCGAGUGUGGUAUUGUAGUAAGAGUUACUUCAAAUGCACAAAGCAAAUUUAAGUUACUUUAUUUUGAGCAAGAUGUGAAUGGCGGUUAUGGUUUGGCCCUACAGAAUGUAUGCAGAAGAAAGAAGUUACUACUUUUUCUCUAGGUGAUUGAUGAAAUAGAUGGAGCUCUUGGUGAUGGCAAAGGUGCUGUGGAGGUUAUUCUAAAGAUGAUAAGAAGGCUCUCUAAAACCCUGCAGUUUUCUAUCUGAGUCGCCUCUUCACCAUCUCCUUCAAAACGCGCAGUCUCCACGCUUACAAUCCGGCCGAUGCGAAAGAAAAUAGAGGCCUCCUAAGGUCUGGUUAUGGAUAAAGAGAUGGCGGGGAA